rnacentral:rRNA from 1 species
GACGAACGCUGGCGGCGUGCUUAACACAUGCAAGUCGAACGGAAAGGCCCUGCUUUUGUGGGGUGCUCGAGUGGCGAACGGGUGUGUAACACGUGAGUAACCUGCCCUUGACGUUGGGAUAACUUCAGGAAACUGGGGCUAAUACCGGAUAGGAGCUCCUGCUGCAUGGUGGGGGUUGGAAAGUUUCGGCGGUUGGGGAUGGACGGGCGGGUUAUCAGCUUGUUGGUGGGGUAGUGGCUUACCAAGGCUUUGACGGGUAGCCGGCCUGAGAGGGUGACCGCCCACAUUGGGACUGAGAUACGGCCCAGACUCCUACGGGAGGCAGCAGUGGGGAAUAUUGCACAAUGGGCGGAAGCCUGAUGCAGCAACGCCGCGUGCGGGAUGACGGCCUUCGGGUUGUAAACCGCUUUCGCCUGUGACGAAGCGUGAGUGACGGUAAUGGGUAAAGAAGCACCGGCUAACUACGUG